UGCCUAAUAAUGCAAGUCGAGCGGAUCUUCAUUAGCUUGCUUUUGAAGAUCAGCGGCGGACGGGUGAGUAACACGUGGGCAACCUGCCUGUAAGACUGGGAUAACUUCGGGAAACCGGAGCUAAUACCGGAUAAUCCUUUCCCUCACAUGAGGGAAAGCUGAAAGACGGUUUCGGCUGUCACUUACAGAUGGGCCCGCGGCGCAUUAGCUAGUUGGUGAGGUAACGGCUCACCAAGGCAACGAUGCGUAGCCGACCUGAGAGGGUGAUCGGCCACACUGGGACUGAGACACGGCCCAGACUCCUACGGGAGGCAGCAGUAGGGAAUCUUCCGCAAUGGACGAAAGUCUGACGGAGCAACGCCGCGUGAACGAUGAAGGCNUUCGGGUCGUAAAGNUCUGUUGUCAGGGAAGAACAAGUANCGGAGUAACUGCCGGUACCUUGACGGUACCUGACCAGAAAGCCACGGCUAACUACGUGCCAGCAGCCGCGGUAAUACGUAGGUGGCAAGCGUUGUCCGGAAUUAUUGGGCGUAAAGCGCGCGCAGGCGGUUCCUUAAGUCUGAUGUGAAAGCCCCCGGCUCAACCGGGGAGGGUCAUUGGAAACUGGGGAACUUGAGUGCAGAAGAGGAGAGCGGAAUUCCACGUGUAGCGGUGAAAUGCGUAGAGAUGUGGAGGAACACCAGUGGCGAAGGCGGCUCUCUGGUCUGUAACUGACGCUGAGGCGCGAAAGCGUGGGGAGCGAACAGGAUUAGAUACCCUGGUAGUCCACGCCGUA
rnacentral:rRNA from 1 species